UAAUACGUAGGGGGCAAGCGUUGUCCGGAAUCAUUGGGCGUAAAGAGCGUGUAGGCGGUCCGAUUAGUCGGCUGUGAAAGUCCAGGGCUCAACCCUGGGAUGCCGGUCGAUACUGUCGGACUAGAGUCCGGAAGAGGCAAGUGGAAUUCCCGGUGUAGCGGUGAAAUGCGCAGAUAUCGGGAGGAACACCAAUGGCGAAGGCAGCUUGCUGGGACGGUACUGACGCUGAGACGCGAAAGCGUGGGGAGCAAACAGGAUUAGAUACCCUGGUAGUCCACGCCGUAAACGAUGGGCACUAGGCGUCGGGGGGAGCGACCCUCCCGGUGCCGUCGCUAACGCAGUAAGUGCCCCGCCUGGGGAGUACGGCCGCAAGGCUG
rnacentral:rRNA from 1 species